rnacentral:lncRNA from 1 species
UCGAUACUAAGGAACCAAGUUCGGUUCUUUACAUUAGCUUCGGGAGUUUAUGUCGUUUAUCAAACGAACAACUUAAGGAGAUGGCUAAUGGAAUCGAAGCGUCAAAGCAUCAAUUCCUUUGGGUGGUUCAUGGAAAAGAAGGAGAAGAUGAAGAUAAUUGGUUACCAAAAGGUUUUGUAGAGAGGAUGAAGGAAGAAAAGAAAGGAAUGUUGAUUAAAGGAUGGGUUCCACAAGCGUUAAUAUUGGAUCAUCCAUCGAUAGGCGGAUUCUUAACGCAUUGUGGCUGGAACGCGAC